UAAUACGAAGGGUGCAAGCGUUACUCGGAAUUACUGGGCGUAAAGGGUGCGUAGGUGGUCGUUUAAGUCCGUUGUGAAAUCCCUGGGCUCAACCUGGGAAUGGCAGUGGAUACUGGACGGCUAGAAUGCGGUAGAGGGUAGUGGAAUUCCCGGUGUAGCAGUGAAAUGCGUAGAGAUCGGGAGGAACACCAGUGGCGAAGGCGGCUACCUGGACCAGCAUUGACACUCAAGCACGAAAGCGUGGGGAGCAAACAGGAUUAGAUACCCUGGUAGUCCACGCCCUAAACGAUGCGAACUGGACGUUGGGAGCAACUUGGCUCUCAGUGUCGAAGCUAACGCGUUAAGUUCGCCGCCUGGGGAGUACGGUCGCAAGACUG
rnacentral:rRNA from 1 species